rnacentral:rRNA from 1 species
GACGAACGCUGGCGGCGUGCUUAACACAUGCAAGUCGAACGGAAAGGCCCUGCUUUUGUGGGGUGCUCGAGUGGCGAACGGGUGUAACACGUGAGUAACCCGUCCUCGACUUUUUGAGAACUUUACAAAACUGGGGCUCAUACCCGAUAGGAGCUCCCGCUCCAGGGUGGGGGGUGGGAAGUUUCGGCGGUUGGGGAUGGACUCGCGGCUUAUCAGCUUGUUGGUGGGGGAGUGGGUUACCAAGGCUUUGACGGGUAGCCGGCCUGAGAGGGUGACCGGCCACAUUGGGACUGAGAUACGGCCCAGACUCCUACGGGAGGCAGCAGUGGGGAAUAUUGCACAAUGGGCGGAAGCCUGAUGCAGCAACGCCGCGUGCGGGAUGACGGCCUUCGGGUUGUAAACCGCUUUCGCCUGUGACGAAGCGUGAGUGACGGUAAUGGGUAAAGAAGCACCGGCUAACUACGUG